rnacentral:sRNA from 1 species
CUGCCAAGUUGCAUGCGCUUAGAACGGAGUCUACGACGACGAGCUGGGCGAGUGCUGCCAGCGCCCAGGCCCUGACCUCCACCCGUGCGGCCCCAUCAUCCAGGCCACGCACCAGAAUCUGACUUCCUACAGCCAACUGCUGCAAGUGGUCGUGGCAGUUGCUGACACCUCUGCGAAAGCCGUGGAGACCGUGAAGAAGCAGCAAGGCGAGCAGAUCUGCUGGGGUGGCAGCAGCUCCGUCAUGAGUCUAGCUACCAAGAUGAAUGAACUAAUGGAGAAACAGAAAGUCUUCAGUGAUGGCCUACGCCAAAGCACAGGAUAGGGGCGGGCAGGAAGCCCUCUCCCAAGAUCGAGUUGGCUGAGGAUGGAUGAUUGUGGCAGCAGAAGCCGUUGCAGCCCCACGUUGUGCUCUAGGCAGGGACCUUUGGCCCGUUUGGGGAGGGAGAGACAGACGGGCGGUUUGACUUGGACACAAAGAAAGCCUUGGUUUCU